rnacentral:rRNA from 1 species
CCUACGGGAGGCAGCAGUGGGGAAUAUUGGGCAAUGGGCGCAAGCCUGACCCAGCAACGCCGCGUGAUGGAAGAAGGCUUUCGGGUUGUAAACUUCUUUUGUCAGGGACGAAGCAUGUGACGGUACCUGGCGUAUACGCCACGGCUAACUACGUGCCAGCCGCCGCGGUAAUACGUAGGGGGCAAGCGUUAUCCGGAUUUACUGGGUGUAAAGGGCGUGUAGGCGGGACUGCAAGUCAGAUGUGAACACCACGGGCUAAACCUGUGGCCUGCAUUUGAAACUGUAGUUCUUGAGUACUGGAGAGGCAGACGGAAUUCCUAGUGUAGCGGUGAAAUGCGUAGAUAUUAGGAGGAACACCAGUGGCGAAGGCGGUCUGCUGGACAGCAACUGACGCUGAGGCGCGAAAGCGUGGGGAGCAAACAGGAUUAGAUACCCUGGUAGUC